UUUAAUUGGCUGAGAGCCGCUCGACUCGAUCUAGUGCUGAUUGCUCUGGCUUGGGUCAUUUAAGUUCAACACUUUUGCAGUUGAAUUUUUGCAGGCGAAUUUUUGCAGGUGAAUUUUUUGCAGGUGAAUUUUUUGCAGGUGAAUAUUUGAUGGUGAAUUUUUUUCAGGUGAAUUUUUGCAGGUGAAUUUUUGCAGGUGAAUUUUUUCAGGUGAAUUUUUUGCAGGUGAAUUUUUGCAGGUGAAUAUUUUUGCAGGGAAAUUUGGAGGAUAAAAAUUCAGUGUUAUAAAUUCAAUGUCUAAAAAAAGUUGGAUUCUGAUGAUACUAUAUUUCUUCCAUA
ensembl:lncRNA